rnacentral:rRNA from 1 species
UCGGCGAUCUUUCGCGACAAUGGACGGAAAGUCCUGACUCCGCAGCACACUGCCCGCGUGAGUGAUGAAGGCUUUCGGAUCUGUAAAACUCUGUUGUUAGAGAAGAACAAGGUGGCAGAUAAUAUGUUCCCCUGCUGACGGUAUCUGCACAAAAAAGCCCCGGCUAACUACGUGCCAGCAGCCGCGGUAAUACGUAGGGUGCAAGCGUUAAUCGGAAUUACUGGGCGUAAAGCGUGUGCAGGCGGUUUCUUAAGUCUGAUGUGAAAUCCCUCGGCUCAACCUUGGAACGGCAUUUUAAACUGGCGAACUUGAAUGCGUAAGAGGGGGGUGGAAUUCCAUGUGUAGCGGUGAAAUGCGUAGAUAUGUGGAGGAAUACCGAUGGCGAAGGCGACCCCCUGGGAUGAUACUGACGCUCAGACUCGAAAGCGUGGGGAGCAAACAGGAUUAGAUACCCCGGUAGU